rnacentral:rRNA from 1 species
CCUACGGGAGGCAGCAGUGAGGAAUAUUGGUCAAUGGGCGGGAGCCUGAACCAGCCAAGCCGCGUGAGGGAAGAAGGUACAGCGUAUCGUAAACCUCUUUUGUCAGGGAACAAAGGCGGGGACUAGUCCCCGGAUGAGGGUACCUGAAGAUAAAGCAUCGGCUAACUCCGUGCCAGCAGCCGCGGUAAUACGGAGGAUGCGGGCGUUAUCCGGAUUUAUGGGGUUUAACGGGUGCGCAGGCGGCCUGUUAAGUCAGCGGUAAAAGCCCGGGGCGCAACCCCGGCGAGCCGUUGAAACUGGUGGGCUGGAGUUGGAGAGAAGUACGCGGAAUGCGCGGUGUAGCGGUGAAAUGCUUAGAUAUCGGGCAGAACCCCGAUGGCGAAGGCAGCGUACCGGCUCCACACUGACGCUGAGGCACGAAAGCGUGGGUAUCGAAUAGGAUUAGAUACCCCAGUAGUC